rnacentral:lncRNA from 1 species
CAGUCUCUGAUUGGUGGUCGAGCGGGGCCCAAAGGAGCAUCAUUUGGCGGCUGGAGCUCGCCUGUAUCACCCAGACAGGGAACGCGAUGUUCUCUCACACACCUGAGCCCGUUCGCCUGUAUCACCCAGACAGGGAACGCGAUGUUCUCUCACACACCUGAGCCCGCUCCUCCAUUGGAUGGUCCGCGAUGGUCAUUGCCUGUCUCGGGCCCAACCACGCAUUUCCCAGUAAAAACGGGGGCCAUCAUGGGGCUACGGCAGGCUAAUUUGAAUAGAAUUCGACAUCAUGGCGCACGCGGGCAGACACCUGAAUCCGAAUCGAUCGCCCAG